rnacentral:rRNA from 1 species
UACGAAGGGGGCUAGCGUUGCUCGGAAUCACUGGGCGUAAAGGGCGCGUAGGCGGCAAUACAAGUCGCAUGUGAAAUACCAGGCUCAACCCUGGGGGGCCAUGCGAAACUGUAUAGCUUGAGUGCAGUAGAGGUAAGCGGAAUUCCUGGUGUAGCGGUAAAAUGCGUAGAGAUCAGGAGGAACACCGGUGGCGAAGGCGGCUUACUGGGCUGCAACUGACGCUGAGGCGCGAAAGCGUGGGGAGCAAACAGG